UACGAAGGGGGCUAGCGUUGUUCGGAAUUACUGGGCGUAAAGGGCGCGUAGGCGGCCGGCUAAGUCGAACGUGAAAUCCCCGGGCUCAACCCGGGAACUGCGUCCGAUACUGGAAGGCUUGAAUCCGGGAGAGGGAUGUGGAAUUCCAGGUGUAGCGGUGAAAUGCGUAGAUAUCUGGAGGAACACCGGUGGCGAAGGCGACAUCCUGGACCGGUAUUGACGCUGAGGCGCGAAAGCCAGGGGAGCAAACGGG
rnacentral:rRNA from 1 species